rnacentral:rRNA from 1 species
UUGGGGAAAAGAACGCGUGAGGGAUGAGGUCUGUGGAUUGUAAACCUCUUUUGAUAGGGAAGAAGUUCUGACGGUACCGAUCGAAUCAGCAUCGGCUAACUCCGUGCCAGCAGCCGCGGUAAUACGGAGGAUGCAAGCGUUAUCCGGAAUUAUUGGGCGUAAAGCGUCCGCAGGUGGUUAAUCAAGUCUAUUGUCAAAGUGCGAGGCUAAACUUCGUAAAGGCGGUGGAAACUGGUUGACUAGAGUUUGGUAGGGGUAGAGGGAAUUCCCAGUGUAGCGGUGAAAUGCGUAGAUAUUGGGAAGAACACCGGUGGCGAAAGCGCUCUACUGGGCCUGAACUGACACUGAGGGACGAGAGCUAGGGGAGCGAAAGGGAUUAGAUACCCCUGUAGUCAAACC